GCGGGAAUAGCUCAGUUGGUAGAGCAUCACGUUGCCAACGUGAAUGUCGCGAGUUCGAAUCUCGUUUCCCGCUCCA
rnacentral:tRNA from 1 species